AAAUUAUAUAUCCUCUCUUGUUUUCCUGUAAGAACAUAAACAAAAUAGCACUAACUUUCACAGAAAUAUCCUGCUUUCAGGGGUAGCUGUGUUAACUGGUAUCA